rnacentral:rRNA from 1 species
AUUGAACGCUGGCGGCAGGCCUAACACAUGCAAGUCGAGCGGAUGAAGGAAGCUUGCUUCCCGAUUCAGCGGCGGACGGGUGAGUAAUGCCUAGGAAUCUGCCUAUUAGUGGGGGAUAACUCGGGGAAACUCGGGCUAAUACCGCAUACGUCCUACGGGAGAAAGUGGGGGAUCUUCGGACCUCACGCUAAUAGAUGAGCCUAGGUCGGAUUAGCUAGUUGGUGAGGUAACGGCUCACCAAGGCGACGAUCCGUAGCUGGUCUGAGAGGAUGAUCAGCCACACUGGAACUGAGACACGGUCCAGACUCCUACGGGAGGCAGCAGUGGGGAAUUUUGGACAAUGGGGGCAACCCUGAUCCAGCCAUGCCGCGUGAGUGAAGAAGGCCUUCGGGUUGUAAAGCUCUGUCAGGGGGGAAGAAGUGCAGUGGUGCUAAUAUCGCCAUUGUUUGACGGUACCCUCAAAGGAAGCACCGGCUAACUCCGUGCCAGCCGCCGCGGUAA